CAGACUCCUACGGGAGGCAGCAGUGGGGAAUAUUGGGCAAUGGGCGCAAGCCUGACCCAGCAAUGCCGCGUGGGUGAAGAAGGUCUUCGGAUUGUAAAGCCCUUUCGGCGGGGACGAUGAUGACGGUACCCGCAGAAGAAGCCCCGGCUAACUUCGUGCCAGCAGCCGCGGUAAUACGAAGGGGGCUAGCGUUGCUCGGAAUUACUGGGCGUAAAGGGCGCGUAGGCGGCUCUGUUAGUCAGGCGUGAAAUUCCUGGGCUCAACCUGGGGACUGCGCUUGAUACGGCAGGGCUAGAGGAUGGAAGAGGCUCGCGGAAUUCCCAGUGUAGAGGUGAAAUUCGUAGAUAUUGGGAAGAACACCGGUGGCGAAGGCUGCGAGCUGGUCCAUUACUGACGCUGAGGCGCGACAGCGUGGGGAGCAAACAGGAUUAGAUACCCUGGUAGUCCACGCCGUAAACGAUGUGCGCUGGAUGUUGGGACUCCUAGAGUCUCAGUGUCGUAGCCAACGCGGUAAGCG
rnacentral:rRNA from 1 species